rnacentral:lncRNA from 1 species
GGGGCAGCCAGCAUGGAAGGCACAGGGGGAAAAGGGGGAUCCAGAAAGGUUUUGCAUCCACACCAAGGCAGUGUUCCAGCCCACCAAAUGUGAUUGCAUGUUACUGGCAAAAAGGUUCCUAGCAGAAGUUUUCUUCAAGACCUUCCACAGGACAAAGUUUCUACCAGCAAUUACAGUGCCACGUAAUCACCUUUGUGCAUCAGCCCUGGAUGAGAAGACCACCAGUACUGAUGUAGCUGACAGACAUCAACAACUGCUUGAACAGCUGGGAGCAUCAUUUUUUGUCAACUCUGUGUCCUUUAAGCCACAAAUCCCACCUCACUUCAGCCCCAAAAGCAUGGACACACCAUAUGCUAGAUGCUGUAUAUUUCUAAGGAAAUAUCCCAAAGGCAUAGUCUAUAUCCAGGGUUCUCCAUCUUUGCUGAGUUAAAGAUCCUUCAUCUUGCACUUCUGCAAGAUAGUGCAGAAUUCUCAAGAGCGAGCGGAAAUGUUUGCUAUUUUUAGGAACUGUGAAUGGGUGAACUGGUGAGCUGAGCUUUGCAUGCAGCAGUGCAUCUUGCCUGUGCUCAAAUCUCUUUUACCAGAGAUGGAAACUGUGGUGGGAAGGAUGAAUGAAUUCUCAAUGGAGGUGAGUUCACACGCUGCCUCCCAUUUCAGCCAUCCUUUAUUACAAGCCUGCAGACCAGUCUAGUUUGAGCUUUUAUUUGUUUGAAAAACGGUACAGCCAAGUGGAGGUCCUUCAAUUAUGGUUGCCAAAGUGCUGGGAUGGUUGUAGUUAUUGAGAAGCUUUAGCUCUACAUCUACGGUGAAAGAACAGCCCUAUGCAUGGCAGACUGCCCAAGCCACAGCCUCUCCUGCCAUGCCUGCUCCAUGGUGAAGGCCUACUCAGGUUUGAACUUAGCAAAUCAAUGGCCCCACAUUUAAUUUCUCUUCACAUUUCCACGACUGCAGUUAGGAACAGUAGUGAUGCCCUUUGGGACUGGCAUUUUUGACUGUGUUACGACUGGCAGUGCAAAGGGCCCAAGGCAAGGACAAGGAGCUCCAGCCCAUGCAGACAGUUAAGAAGUG